rnacentral:lncRNA from 1 species
UUUAAUUUGCUAUGGCACACAGCCGGGACUGAAAACUCUGACCAGGCGAGGGACUUCGGCCUCCCCUUGAAGGAUCGAUUCUACCUGCAGCCGCUGCCACCGGCGGAGGCGGCGGCGAGGGUGAAGACGUCGGCGCAGGACAUCAUCAACCUGAAGCCGCUCAUCGACAAGAAGGCGUGGCCGUACGUCCAGAACGACCUCCGCCUCAGGGCCUCCUACCUGCGCUAUGACCUCAAGACCGUCAUCGCUUCAAAGCCCAAGGAGGAGAAGAAGAGCCUCAAGGAGCUCACCGGCAAGCUCUUCAGCACCAUCGACGAUGUAAGUUGAAUCCUAUUGAUCAUUGAUCUAUCUGGAAGCAAUUCAAUUUCCUUCCCCUCAACCUUUGACAAGAAUUGUUGGAAAAUGACACGUGAGCUUCUCUUCCCGUUUUGGCAGCUUGACCAUGCCGCGAAGAUCAAGAGCACCCCAGAGGCCGAGAAAUACUUUGCAGCAACCAAAGAUGUGCUCGGCGAUGUUCUCGCCAAGAUAGGCUAGACGGAAGGGCUAAUAAUGGCCAUUUAAUUUCGAACUUGUGUUUGUUCAUAUGGAGCCGGCAAUGUACCAUUUUCUGUUGAUAUUGUAUCAGAAAGCACUUAACUAUGAUGCUAUCCUGAGUUCUUGAGACAAGUACUGUUGCGAGCUGAUGCAACAAUCAGAAACAGGUACCAACAACCUUAAUCCGUGAUGAGGUCAUCAAACACAUGCCUCCUGAUAAAGCCCCUAGUCCAG